GUGAGGGACACGCUUCGUCAGGCGUGCGCUUCCGGCCGGCGGGUUGCGCGGGGGUCGCCGGGAACGCCCAACCGGGCAGCGGACGACUUCCGGCAUCCAAGAUGCAGCCCCCACGAAGCAAUAAAGCAGAGAGAUCAGCUAAUAAAAUUUUGGAAGCUGGAUAUCAGAUCAUUAUUGACUUGAAAAGAUGGAAUAUCAGUUUCCUUCACUGUGGGAAGCCAAGAAGCAAGCCCCAUUAGUUCAGUGAGUCUGGAAGAGUCUGGUGAGUUACAGGUACCAGCCCACCUCUGAGAACAGGACAGUGGGUGGGGCUACCGACUGAAAAUGUGUAAGAAGUUGCCCCUUUCCAUCCCCUCCAUCACCGGGGUAUUCAGGUGAGCCCCUCACUUCCCUCAUGGCCGAAGACUAGGAGACUUUCAUCCCAGAGGACGGAGCCAAAAGGACUCUGGAGUUGAGAACAACACACAGCUGAGACUGGGAUGCAGUAAUAUGAGACUGAUGCCCUACCUACUGCACUAACUAGGCACCUGGGAUGUAGUAAUAAAGAUGAAAUUCUAGGA